ensembl:snoRNA Gm22889 predicted gene, 22889
CAGAGGAAAUCCAGACGGGUUGUUUCCAUCUGUCCUGAGGUGUGUCUCUACAACUCUG